ACUGCUGUAAAAAUUACAGCAAUAUUUUACAGCAGCAGGCUGUUUUUCUAAUAAUACAGCAUAUUGCUGUAAACUGCAAUGCAUUCUGGGGUCGCGUGACGUUUGACGCAAAUGUACAGCAUAUUGCUGUAAAUUUCAAAUCUAGAGGUGGGAUCUUCAACGGUCGAGAUUCGGGAGCGGCAAUAGGAAUGAUUCACAACUGUGCAUACUACAUAUUCACCCUGGAGUACCAGGAGGAGACAGCCGGUAACUUGGACAUUCAAAGAUGCUUUGUUGGUAAUAAAUCCAGAGAGAGGAACAAAGAAGUUGAAAGGUUCGAAAACAAAAGGGCAAAUGGUGCAGAAGAAACAGCUUGACGUGAACCCACAUGUUGCCACUCUUCUUUGCAAAGUGAAGAGUUUUCAGUGGAAUUUCUGAAAUCCACCCUUUGCAUCCUGGGAUGGAACAGCAUCUGGAGCUGAACUGUUCUCCUUUUUUUGAUCGACUCACUUGGGGCCUUGUUGU